UGAGGUUUCGAGAGGGGCAUGUGGGCAACUU
rnacentral:piRNA from 1 species